rnacentral:tRNA from 1 species
GCCUUCGUGGUGUAGUGGUCAGUACGCUCGACGCGUAACCGAGAGGUCCGUGGUUCGAUUCCCGGCGAAGGCA